rnacentral:rRNA from 1 species
AUUGAACGCUGGCGGCAGGCCUAACACAUGCAAGUCGAACGAGUGGCGGACGGGUGUGUAAUGUCUGGGAAACCGCCUGAUGGAGGGGGAUCACCACUGGACACGGUCGCUAAUACCGCAUACUAUCAGAAGUGCCCAGAUGGGAUUAGCUUGUUGGUGGGGUAACGGCUCACCAAGGCGACGAUCCCUAGCUGGUCUGAGAGGAUGACCAGCCACACUGGGACUGAGACACGGUCCAGACUCCUACGGGAGGCAGCAGUGGGGAAUAUUGCACAAUGGGCGCAAGCCUGAUACAGCCAUGCCGCGUGUAUGAAGAAGGCCUUCGGGUUGUAAAGUACUUUCAGCGGGGAGGCGUUACCCGCAGAAGAAGCACCGGCUAACUCCGUGCCAGCAGCCGCGGUAAUUC